rnacentral:ncRNA from 1 species
UGACCUCAAAUCAGGUAGGAUUACCCGCUGAACUUAAGCAUAUCAAUAAGCGGAGGAAAAGAACCAACUGGGAUUACCUUAGUAACGGCGAGUGAAGCGGUAAAAGCUCAAAUUUGAAAUCUGGUACUUUCAGUGCCCGAGU